AUGCCACAGUUUAGAUCAUGCACUUCUCACUCUGAAGCCAAAAACUCAGACACAGCACUCCUCCAAAACCCUGAGAGGCAGCCAUGGACUCUGGGGCUGCAGGAUGCAGUGAAAAAUUGCACAGACACCAGGAACAGUGCAGCGCUGGCUGGGAGAAGCAGAGUUACUCUCCAAGAAAUGUGCCAUUCUGCAGCCAGCAUUUGCCUUACACAGGUGAUGUUCCUCACAACUGAGCACUCUGAUGCCAACAGCAGCAAUACGGAAAACCACUCUGGGACAGAGCAGCAGGAAAAGCUGCCUCGAGACUUCCCAGAGAUAUGACAGGAGCACCCUCAGUGUGAUGCCUGUCGAGGUUCCUUGAGGUGCACCUGUAGAUGCUGCCAAGUGUCCUUGAGCAGUCAGAGCAGAAUAAGGUUUCUAGCAUGCUGUAAGAAAGAAAUAACAUUUAUUCAGAAGAAAAUAAAAGGAAGCACCUCUCCCCAUCCAUUUUCUUAAAAAAAAAAAAAAUAAUGCAUUAGAAUUUUUUAAAGCAUUUAUUCUUGCUUUACACAGUGUAAAUUAUGAGCUUUCAUCUUUCAGUCUGAGUUUGCCACAGCUCCUCAGGCUGACUGAUCUCAGGAAGACCAUCAGAAUCACUAAACGGUGGUCGGGACAUUAAAGCUCAUCCCAUUCCACCCCCUGCCGUGGGCAGGGACACCUCCCAGUGUCCCAGGCCAGGCUGGACACUGGGGCUUGGAGCAGCCUGGGACACUGCCAGGGAUCCAGGGGCAGCCACAGGGGCCUGGCCACCCUCACCGGGAAAAACUUCCUGUGAUACUCACCUAACCCUGCCUUCCUUCAUC
rnacentral:lncRNA from 1 species